rnacentral:rRNA from 1 species
UACGUAGGUGGCGAGCGUUGUCCGGAUUUACUGGGCGUAAAGAGCGCGCAGGCGGUCGUACAAGUCGCGUGUGAAAGCCCCUGGCUCAACUGGGGAGGGUCACGCGAUACUGUUCGACUCGAAGGCAGGAGAGGGAAGUGGAAUUCCCGGUGUAGUGGUGAAAUGCGUAGAUAUCGGGAGGAACACCAGUGGCGAAGGCGACUUCCUGGCCUGUUCUUGACGCUGGAGGCGCGAAAGCUAGGGUAGCAAACGGG